CCCUAAAAAGAAGAAGAAGAAAAAAAAAAAAGAUUAGGCAACUUUGAGAAAUCUCAAAAUGGCCUGAGUGACUCCCUCAGCACAGGGAAGAUAGAUGUCAUCCCACAGAGUGAUGGCUUUAUGACACUGAGGUUAAAGUGGAUAACUCCUAGGAUCCUUCUAAUCCUGUUUCCGUGUUGUCACAACAUAAAUGACAUAACAAAAUUGAGUAAACCUGAGCCAGGGGCAAAAUUCACUAGCCUUUUUGGUAAAGGGUAGCAGUAUGGCUUUGAAAGCACUUGUCAGCACCCUCGUGUGGCACUGUAUGGUAAUUCCACUUAAGCAGUAAAGAACACAGUACUAUUACUUUACACAGCUUAACAACCCUAACAAUAAUAACUAAUAUGUUGAGUGCUUAUUAUGGCCAGGCGCUGUGCUGGCUGCUUUCCAAACAUUAUUUCACUUAACCCACAACAACCCUACAAGGAAAGUAUUAUUACCUUCAGUUUACACGUGAGGAGACUGAGGCACAGAGAGACAAAGUGACCUGCCCAAGGACACUGAACUUACAGACUAGAGACUGAGGCCAGACUCAAACUCAGGUCUCUGGAAUCCCUAAGGCCACACAGUGGUCAUUAAUUACAGUUUUUCAGAGACCUCCCCCUUUGCAUUGGCUUCAAGGAUCCUGCAGGAGACCAUGGAUAAAAGCCCCCUGGGAACGUGAGAUGAAGAUGAUGUGCUUGGCAAAUAACGGAAGUGACACACCUACUCAUGUAUCCCUUGGUUUCUUGGUCCAGCUAACCUUCAGACACCAUUUCCUCCAUGCCAGGCACUAUGGGACUGGUGGAAGGAAGUUACUGGAUCUGGAGCCUGACCCAGAACAAGCAGCACAAUGUUCACAGGGCCAAGCUCUUGAAUGGAAGCCACUGUCCCAGCCAUACCCUUCCUAGCCCCAGCCCCAGACACACAAGAGGACCUGCACCCUGGGCCAUAUGGAAAUACCUUCUGGGCUAUCCGGAGCUCCUGCUUCACAGCCUGGAUCUGGUUGCGGAGGUCACUCAUCUUCAGGCACAAGCAAGACCUGUGAAUGCCAGUGUGAAAGACAGCUCCCAGGAGACCACAGAGACUCUGGCAGCCCUGCUGAAAACCCCUGGUCAAGGAAACUAAACUUGCACACUCGGUCCAGAAAGCCUGGACUCAUCUGGUUUUCUCAUCAGGAAAUGGAUACUUCCCUGUUCUGCUUCCUCACAGCACCACCAAGAGGCUAAAUAGAGUAACCAAUGUGAGCAGAAUUUGCAAAUGGAGAACUUAUGUCAAACACAGAUGCCUUUUUUUUUCGUCUAUUUCAUAUGGCUGCCUGCUAUCCCUUCUUACUGCUCAUGGGGGCCUGACCUUUCCCCUCCUAAGGUGCUGCUUUGAAUCUUCCCCGGGCUGGGAAACGACAGCCCCUGACUGUCAGAUCUUUGGUGCCAUGGACCCGCUGGCCCAAUGGGUGAUUCCGUGGGACUGUGAGAGCUUAUGAGCAUCCCACGUGUCUGCUGCUACCAUGCUCAGAGCAGGGAAAGGGCACACUUAUUGGACCUGGACCUGAAACCCAGGCAGUGACACCCCUCUCCAAGCUUUGUUUUCUCAUCUGUGAAAUGCAGGUAUGUUAUACCAGCCUCUGGGGUACUUGUGAGUGUCGAUGAGAUAAUGCAUAUGAAGGUUGCUCUCUGGGGCAGAUCCUGAUAGAAGGAAGUGCCAGGAGGCCUAGCCUAGCUUGGGAGGGCAGCUGGCAAAGGGCUGAGGGCCAAUGGUGUUCUGAUGAAGGCAUCACACCCUCUGCUCCGCCAGACCCCAGUCCUCCAUUUCCCAGGCAGCUGGACCAACCCUACCUCCAAAACAUUUCAGAGUUGUUUCUUCCCAGGGUGAGAUUCCACAGGCUUUGUGGGGGACUCGAGCAUGGGGACAGCCCUCCCCAACCCUGAGCUGUUUUCUCUGAGGGAAUAACUAAAAAACCAUUAUUGGGGAGCAGAUAGUAUCAAGGCCACUCACACCGCUGCCUCCUGAAGCCCCACAUGGAGGGAAGGUGAAUUGGGCCCUACUCUGGCAUCUGCUUGGAGCUCUGGGCUGGAAUGUGGAGUGAGCCUGUGGGCUCUGGAGUGUGGCCAGGGGUUGGGUCACCCUUAUCGGCCUAAGGAAGGGGACAUUGCUAUUGUUCUCCCUCUGAUCAGAAGAUGCCUGGGAAGACACAUGAUCCUGAGGAAUGGAGACUACAGCAUACCACCUACUCCUCUGCCAGAAAUCUCUCAGGCUCCUCGCAGCCACAGAAUGAGGUUGAAACUCCUGCUUCCUCUACCAUUAAACCUCCCUCCACAGGCGACCCUCACCCCAGCUCUGUUUGGCUUACGUUCCUCUUUUCCCCUUUAUGGGCCCUGGGCUGCAGCCAAACAUUAUCCAACUGACGCCCAACUUGCAAAUCGAAAAGGAAUAGUGAUGCUUCCCUGCUCUGAGCUUGCUCUGCAUCUGCUGGAAGGGCUACC